rnacentral:lncRNA from 10 species
AGAUUUUUAAGCGCUUCUGAUGAUUCUGAGCUACAUUUCUGGACUGGAAUUUGAGUGUUUACGUCGCUGUUUCUUGGAUAAUUAAAGAGGGCAGCAAAGGACCAUAAGCAAUUCUCCAAUGGUGAAGAUCGACCCCAGUCAUGUAAAAACACGUGACCAACUGACCAACCAGAAAACCUCAUCCCCUGGGAGAUGGAGGCAACACAUUUCACUUUUGCUUAAGAAGGAUCUUGCAGAAAGUGAAGAAGAGCAGGAAUAGAGAAGACAUUUGAAUGACGACUGAUGUUCUCUUCUUUGGCCUGAGGUUUUAGAACACAUUCACUGCCUGAUCACUGUGGCCCAGAAGCCAUGG